rnacentral:rRNA from 1 species
AUUGAACGCUGGCGGCAUGCUUUACACAUGCAAGUCGAACGGUAACAGGCCGCAAGGUGCUGACGAGUGGCGAACGGGUGCGUAAUGCAUCGGAACGUGCCCAGUCGUGGGGGAUAACUACUCGAAAGAGUAGCUAAUACCGCAUACGAUCUAUGGAUGAAAGCGGGGGACCGUAAGGCCUCGCGCGAUUGGAGCGGCCGAUGUCAGAUUAGGUAGUUGGUGGGGUAAAGGCUCACCAAGCCAACGAUCUGUAGCUGGUCUGAGAGGACGACCAGCCACGCUGGGACUGAGACACGGCCCAGACUCCUACGGGAGGCAGCAGUGGGGAAUUUUGGACAAUGGGCGCAAGCCUGAUCCAGCAAUGCCGCGUGCAGGAAGAAGGCCUUCGGGUUGUAAACUGCUUUUGUACGGAACGAAACGGCUCUGGUUAAUACCCGGGGCUAAUGACGGUACCGUAAGAAUAAGCACCGGCUAACUACGUG